AAAUUGAAGAGUUUGAUCAUGGCUCAGAUUGAACGCUGGCGGCAGGCCUAACACAUGCAAGUCGAGCGGCAGCGGGAAAGUAGCUUGCUACUUUUGCCGGCGAGCGGCGGACGGGUGAGUAAUGCCUGGGGAUCUGCCCAGUCGAGGGGGAUAACUACUGGAAACGGUAGCUAAUACCGCAUACGCCCUACGGGGGAAAGCAGGGGACCUUCGGGCCUUGCGCGAUUGGAUGAACCCAGGUGGGAUUAGCUAGUUGGUGAGGUAAUGGCUCACCAAGGCGACGAUCCCUAGC
rnacentral:rRNA from 1 species